AAUAGUCAAACAAAUUAGCAAUGGGGCCACCAAGAAAGUACAUUCAACACUGAUUCAGAGAUAUCUCAGCUUAUCUGUUUUCUAUCAGUUAUGGAACAAGAAAGAUGAAAUAUGCAAUUAUAUACAAGGAAACAUAACUCCUAAUUCUUUCAUUCUAGAUGAAACAAGAGUUGCUUAAAAAAAUAAGACCUUUGUUUU
rfam:Vicugna pacos cont1.115814, whole genome shotgun sequence.